GAUGAACGCUGACAGAAUGCUUAACACAUGCAAGUCGAUGGGGAAGUGGUGCUUGCACCAUGGCAACCAUGGCGGACGGGUGAGUAACGCGUAAGGGACUUACCUGCAGGACUGGGAUAACAGGGGGAAACUCCUGACAAGACCGGAUAAUGUCAUGGAGCUGCAUGGCUUUAUGAUGAAAGGAGACGCCUGCGGAGAGCCUUGCGUCCUAUUAGCUAGUUGGUGAGGUAAUGGCUCACCAAGGCGAAGAUCGGUAGCCGGCCUGAGAGGGUGGACGGCCACAAGGGGACUGAGAUACGGCCCUUACUCCUACGGGAGGCAGCAGUGGGGAAUAUUGGACAAUGGGGGCAACCCUGAUCCAGCAAUUCUGUGUGCACGAAGAAGGUUUUCGGAUUGUAAAGUGCUUUCAGCAGGGAAGAAGUAAGUGACGGUACCUGCAGAAGAAGCGACGGCUAAAUACGUG
rnacentral:rRNA from 1 species